UACAAAGCUAUCCUCCAACUAUAGAUUACCCUCCGCUGUCACACAGUCAGUCACUCGGAUGCUGCCGAUAGCAUGAAGAAUUAGGCGUUCGACUAAAUCAUCCAACAAAGUGGCAUGCUAGCAGAUGAUUUGUGCACCAGCUUGAGCUACAGAGGCGGUAUCAGGGGAGGCCUUCUGCAGGGAGGAAGCGCUGGCAUGCCUUUGGGAGCAGCGUGCUGGGGUCUGGUCCCGCUAAUCUGGGUUGCUAAUGGUGUGUUCCUUCCUGUCAGAUAGCGACGUACGAGAUAUCACUCUUCCUGCAAGUCUGAGAACCACGGACUGUUUGAAGUGAUGUUCACCCAUGCAAAGAGAGCAGCUCUGCAACCGCCGGCUUUGGCUUGAUGCUCGGGAACAUCUCCAUGGAAACAGUCUCCAUACUGAAAACAUGUUUACACUUCCGCGCUGUGCAGCGUUCAAGGGCAUCAGUCGCCACGGUCUCCUUUCCUUCAUUUCAUUAACAUUGCCACGUCUUUCCAUUCGUCUGCUGCCGGACAACGAACACAUCUGUGUUAACUCUGCGCUGCUACGUCUGAAGUCAAGCAUGCGUGAGGAGGUUUCAUUACUUUCAGGCAACAUGCUGUGGAAAGCACUUCUUAAAUUUUUCUGUCCUUUUUUUUAAUCACUCACCACUUGUUGCUGGUUCCUUUGUGCUUCUGUGCAGUUUAGAGUGAAGGACAAAUGAUCAUGAAGGAUCGAUAAUGCUGCUGCACCAUCAGUCAUGCUGGUCCUUGUCAUGUCAAGCUGAGCUGUCCUCCACUCGCCACCCCACACCCAGCUCAGUCCAACAGAGAAAAACAGAGGGGAGGGGGGGGGCUGAGGCUUUGGUACGACUUAAUUCCCCCGCAUCAAAGGCAACGAUGCCCUUUCUUACUUUGUCCAUGUAGCUGCUGGAGGGAUCCUGAGCUUAUGUGUUGAGUGGGAUAAGCUGCUCUAUUGUAUGUCUGCUUUGAACCUCACUAGGUGGUGCCAGAGGCUGUGAACUAAUGGAGCAUUGCAAAGAG